AUUGAACGCUGGCGGCAGGCCUAACACAUGCAAGUCGAGCGAGCGGCGGACGGGUGAGUAAUGUAUGGGGACUGCCCGAUAGAGGGGGAUAACUACUGGAAACGGUAGCUAAUACCGCAUACUAUCGGAUAACCCAUAUGGGAUUAGCUAGUAGGUGAGGUAAUGGCUCACCUAGGCGACGAUCCCUAGCUGGUCUGAGAGGAUGAUCAGCCACCCUGGAACUGGGACACGCCCCAGACCCCCGGGGAGGCAGCAGUGGGGAUUUUUGCACAAGGGGCGCAAGCCGGUUGCAGCCUUGCCCCGUGUUUGAGAAGGCCCUAGGGUUGUAAAGUACUUUCAGUCGGGAGGCGUUACCGACAGAAGAAGCACCGGCUAACUCCGUGCCAGCAGCCGCGGUAAUUC
rnacentral:rRNA from 1 species